rnacentral:rRNA from 1 species
CACGUAGGGCGCGAGCGUUGUCCGGAAUUAUUGGGCGUAAAGAGCUCGUAGGCGGCCUGUUGCGUCCGCUGUGAAAGCCCGGGGCUUAACCCCGGGUCGGCAGUGGAUACGGGCAGGCUAGAGGUAGGUAGGGGAGAAUGGAAUUCCCGGUGUAGCGGUGAAAUGCGCAGAUAUCGGGAAGAACACCCGUGGCGAAUGCGGCUCUCUGGGACGGUACUGACGCUGAGACGCGAAAGCGUGGGGAACGAACAGG